GAUAAGUAAUGUGAAUUGCAGAAUUCAGUGAAUCAUCGAAUCUUUGAACGCACCUUGCGCUCCCUGGUAUUCCGGGGAGCACGCCCGUUUGAGUGUCAUGGUAUUCUCAACCUUCAUAACUUUGUUGUUAUCGAAGGCUUGGAUGUGGAGGUCGUGCUGGCUCUCACGAGUCAGCUCCUCUGAAAUGCAUUAGCGUGAACGUUUACGGAUCGCUAUCAGUGUGAUAAUUAUCUGCGCUGUUAGUGUUGAAGUAUGUUUAGUGUCGCGCUUCUAACCGUCCUUCAGUUGGACAACUUAUCUGACAUCUGGCCUCAAAUCGGGCGGGACUACCCGCUGAACUUAAGCAUAUCAAUAAGCGGAGGAAAAGAAACUAACAAGGAUUCCCCUAGUAACUGCGAGUGAAGCGGGAAAAGCUCAAAUUUAAAAUCUGGCAGCCUUUGGUUGUCCGAGUUGUAGUCUGGAGAAGCGUUUUCCGCGUUGGACCGUGUACAAGUCUCCUGGAACGGAGCGUCAUAGAGGGUGAGAAUCCCGUCUUUGACACGGACUACCAGUGCUUUGUGAUGCGCUCUCAAAGAGUCGAGUUGUUUGGGAAUGCAGCUCAAAAUGGGUGGUAAACUCCAUCUAAAGCUAAAUAUUGGCGAGAGACCGAUAGCGAACAAGUACCGUGAGGGAAAGAUGAAAAGCACUUUGGAAAGAGAGUUAAACAGUACGUGAAAUUGCUGAAAGGGAAACGCUUGAAGUCAGUCGCGUCUGCUAGAACUCAGCCUGGCCUCGGCUUGGUGCAUUUUCUAGUGGACGGGCCAGCAUCACUUUCGGUUGCGGGAUAAAGGUCGCAGAAAUGUGGCACCCUCGGGUGUGUUAUAGUCUGCGGCUGUAUACCGUGACUGGGAGUGAGGAACUCAGCACGCGCAAGCUGUGCUUAGGAUGCUGGCGUAAUGGCUUUAAACGACCNGUCUUGAAACACGGACCAAGGAGUCUAACAUGCCUGCGAGUGUUUGGGUGGAAAACCCGAGCGCGUAAUGAAAGUGAAAGUUGGGAUCUCUGUCGUGGAGAGCACCGACGCCCGGACCAGACCUUCUGUGACGGAUCCGCGGUAGAGCAUGUAUGUUGGGACCCGAAAGAUGGUGAACUAUGCCUGAAUAGGGUGAAGCCAGAGGAAACUCUGGUGGAGGCUCGUAGCGAUUCUGACGUGCAAAUCGAUCGUCAAAUUUGGGUAUAGGGGCGAAAGACUAAUCGAACCAUCUAGUAGCUGGUUCCUGCCGAAGUUUCCCUCAGGAUAGCAGAAACUCGUAUCAGAUUUAUGUGGUAAAGCGAAUGAUUAGAGGCCUUGGGGUUGAAACAACCUUAAACU
rnacentral:rRNA from 1 species